AUCCUAGCAUUUAUGGUGAUGAUUUAAACUCCAAACUUCUCAAAGGCCACUAUCAGCAGGUCAUGGACCAGAGUUUAAACAGCACACAAGACCUCUUUCCUCCAUCUGAUAAAUCAUGGAUUGGAAAUUCUUCUACAUCUGCCAAUGAUCUUUACCCCAUCAAUCCGGAGUCCAUAAAUUUAAACAUCAGUGAAACCUCGUCUUUAAUUGAAUAAAGCCAAAGACAUGCUUGGAGCUUCGUUUGUAAUCAUAUAAUGAUCAAUAUUUAGACGUCUACACAACGUCUUGUUGCUUACCAUAUGUAAACGGUCUAUGGAAGCUAUCUCCGUGGUUGUGAGAAUUCAGAGCCCCAGACACUUUUCCUGACCAAUGAUUAUUACUUCCGAUUUAUGGAGAUGGAUAUUAUGAAUAUUUUUAAUAAAAUUUAAAUUUAAAGAAGGAAUCAGCUUGUUUUUGUAUGAGAUUCUUGAAUUUAAUAUGACUACAGACUCUUGAAUUAUAAAUAAAGAACUGUGUAUAAAGCUUGGGGGCCAAAAAGAAAUACACAAGACACGAGGCAUAGAUUAUGUCCUUUCUUGCCGAAUCAGCCCUUCCUCACAAACACAGCCCUCUCCACCGGCACCAUCAUCUUGCCUCCAUUCCUCUACCACAACCCAGCCACCCACAGUCACUUCCUCUCACCAAAACCUGCCGUAGCCAGCCAUUAACCCACACUGUAAACUCAUCUUCUCCACAAAUGGUGAUUUCUUAUCCAGUUUUACAUUCUAAACUUCAUUCGUAAUGUGGGGUGCGAAAUCGACAUUGAAAUUGAAAAAAUUACACUUUAUUAAAAAAUUUGGAAAAAUAAAAUAGAAGAGACUAUUGGAUAAGUAAUAAAAAAAAAUUACACUCACAAAAAAAAAUUACACUUUAUUGAGAGUGUUCAUCUGAUAAAAAAUUUACAUUCACAAAGUAUUUUCUGAAAAAUAACGAAACUAUUUUUUAUAAUACAUGCACAACCCACAGAUAGGUACGUAGACAAUUACAAUUAUUAAUUAUUAUUUUUUAUAAUAAAUGCACAAUCCACGUGUCACGAGACUUUUUUUGUGAUAUAAUAACAGUGUUCGUUUGAGAAAUAAAUUUGCUCACGGUGAUAAUGAAGGAAAAAAAACUUAAUAUACAAAGCAAAUGAUGGCAGAAGCAUUAAAAUCGAGGGCGGCUUUAUAAGAGAUACAGUUGGUGUUUUUAAAAGUUUUUUUUUUUAAUAUAUUAAAAUAAUAGUUUUUUAUUAAAUUUUUUUUGAUAUAAAUAUAUUAAAAUAUUAAAAAAUAUUAAUUUAAAAUAAAAAAAUAAAAAAAAAAUUUAAUUUUUUGAGUCUAUCAUAAACUCCAAAUAGCUUGUUGUCCUUUAGCACCUGGUGGAAAAGAGAUUCUACAUCAAUCACUAUUUGCAAAAAAGAAAAGAAAAAUUGAAGAGAACACACACAAAAAAAAAAAAAAAAGAAGGCAGAGGCCAGACCAGAGGGGGAGGAGGAGAAAACAGAGAAAGGAGGAGAAAAAAAGACGGAGCUAAAAAAAGAAGGCAGAGGAGAGAACAGAGGAGAAGAGAGAGGGGAGAGAGAUAUAAACCCAGCUUUGUCUUCGUCCCUGAACUCAAGCACAAUAGGCACACAAAACAGAGAAGCAGAGAACACACAAAACAGAGGCAGGGAAUAUUGGGUAGUCGUUGCGCGGUGGCCAUCCCUUUUCGCUCGUUCAUCUCCAGAACAAUCUCCAGACAAGGUAAGUUUUCAUCUCCCUUUCGUUCUUUUUUAAUCUUCUUUGCAUUUAGCACUGUGCGAAGGUAAUUAAUUACCUCCGCACUGUGACAUGCACGCGUGAACUUCACACGUAAUUUGUCCAGUCAGGUCACUGGUUUGGGCAAUGAUCAGAUUGGGCUGACUGGAUUUUCCCUAGUCAUAUGAAAUGGACCAAACCUGACUUAUUAAAAAAAAAUAGGUCGGGCUGAGCUUUAAGUCCAGCCUGUUUAAAUUGUGUUAAAAACACCCUUACAUUUUAUGCAUAUAUUUUAUCCCCUUUUAUGUUGAUAUUUGAUCAAAUAAGCUCCAUUUUAAUAUUAAAAAAUUUUAGAAAUAUUUGGAGAUUUUUGUUAAUUUAUUUGUGAGUCUCUCGUAUUUUGUUUUAUUUUUUUAUUUGUAUUUUUUAUUUUUUUACUAUGUGCUCAAUCCAUAAACUAUUAUUAUUAAACGCAAAUAUAUUGUGCAAUGUUUUUUUUAUUUUCAUCUAAAAAGAACAAAUAAUAAUAAAGGAUAAGCAAAAAGAAAAUGACAUAGAAAAAUUCUUCUUCAAAAUCAAUUUUUUGCAAAAUUAUUCACUAACGUCAGAGUUAUGAAUAUCGUAUUUGUUUGGGUUUGUGCAAUAUUUACCAAUGUCAUAAAUAAAAAUAUUCGUAUGAACUGUUCACUGACACUAGAGUCAGGAACAUGAGAGAAAGAAUAAAAAAAGAAAAAAAAGAAAGGGAGAACAAAUUCUUAGUAAUUUAAGAUAAAACAAGCAAUGUAGUUUGUCUCGGGUAGGACAUUUAAUAGGUGAUAAUAUCUUUCAUUUUACGUAAUUAGUCCCGUAUCAUAAAAUCUCUAUUGACCAGUUAGGAUUCCUAAUGACUAUAAUAUUAGGUAGCGACUCUUUGAACUAGACUUUUAUUUCUAAAGAAUAAGAUAUCAGAUAUCUGUUUCAUUGAGAUUAUUUUUAAUUAGUCGCCGUGAUGUUCAGGUAUGACAAGAAAACAAGAAUUUUUUAUUUUUUUAUGUUGAUCCAUUAGUAAUUAAAAAAUUAAAUAUAUAUAUUAUUAUCUUUGCAAAUUAUUUUAUACAAUACUAUUCUAUAGGGGUGAUCAUUUUCGGUUCGGUUCGGUUUUUAUCAAAAAAAAUAACCAAACCAAUUUUGUUUUUUUUAAAAAAAACCGAACCCGAACUGAAACCGGGUCAAACCGACCGUUUCGUUCGGUUCGGUUUUUUAGGGCAAAAACCGGUACAAACCGGUUUGGCUUGGUUUUUCCGGUUUCGCUCGGUUUUGGCUCAGUUUUCUCGGUUUUGGCUUGGUUCUUUCCAGUUUUGGCUCGAUUUUUUCGGGUUGGCUCGGUUUUUCCGGUUUGGCUCGGUUUUGUUUCUGGUUUUUUUCGGUUUCGGUUCGGUUUUUUUCUUAUAAAACCGAAUCGAAUCGAACCAGCUGGUUUUUUAAAAUUUUAAUUGGUUUAAUCGGUUUUUUUUUCGGUUCGGUUUUUUCGGUUUUUUUUUUUGUUUUCUCGGUUUAAUUAGUUUUUCAGUUUUUUUGCUCACCCCUACUAUUUUGAUCAAUAAAAUUUAAAAUGUUUUUGACUUCGCACAAACUUAAAAAUCAAUAAAAUUCAUCUCCUAAAAAUUAGGUUCAUUUAUAAGGCAUCUGAAUUUUUCAGCUCCUAGAAAGUUGUAAUUUUGUUUUGUAUCUAAUUCUUUUUCAAGAAAUGACAAACUCACUGUAGAAUUUGAACACGUGAUUCCUUUCUUUCAUUUGAUCAUACCACUUAAGAUACAUCUACCGGUACAAUUAACAAUAAAAUACUAUUUAUACAUAACAAAUUCUUGUCAUCAUUCACUUACUUAUAGUAAUAAUCCACCAUUCCCAAAAUAUAGUUUUUAAACACCAUCUUAUUGAGGAGUUAACCUGGCAAUCAAUCACUGCACCAUUUAACAAUUUUAUUGAUAUAAUUUUUUUUAUAAGCAUAAAAUUAUCAAUUUAUUGAUAAAAAUUUUACUGAUUAAUUUAUUAAUAGAAUAACAUUCAUCAAUAAUUUUAUUAUUUAUUACUAAUUCCAGUAAAAAAAAUUCAGUUUCUUUCUAAAAAUAUUUUUCAAACAUAAAAAUAAACCUGCUGCAAGUGUUAAACUGUCAAUUAUGCACCAACUAGCUAUAUAAUUGAGUCUAUCAUAAACUUCAAAUAAUAGCUUGUUGUCCUUUAGCACCUGGUGGAAAAGAGACUGGUCUCUGUCUACAUCAAUCAGUAUUUUAGCAUGUUCUUUAGCACCAGGUGGAAAAGAGAUUGGUCUGAAACAAUGUAAACAAGGAUAAAUCCUCUUUCUUUCUCUCUUUUCUGAGUGGAAUCUCUCUCGUUUCCAGUAUGUUCUUAGCAUGUUUCAAAGUUUCCAGUAUGUUCUUAGCAUGUUUCAAAAUAUCUGAGAGUUUUUCCCUGUCUGUCUCAUGUCGACAAAUAAAAAACUUGUUCGAGCUUUUGCAGCCAAUUUUGCAGCACAGGAUGCUAAUGAUGUUUCAGCUUUGCCAAGUUAUGGUGAUGAUUAGUUUCUCGAGCUCUAUUACUUUGCUUGCUUCUGAUCAGCUACAUCCAGGAGAAGGUAAGAGCAACCUAGCUACCUACUUAAUUAAGAACAACCUUCUGUAUUACUUUGUGUUCACAGUAAUAUAUAUUCAGAUCAGAUCAGUGAGGUCUUAUAAGUAUACAGCAAGUCUUUCAAACUUUUCAAGUCCUUGGUAAAUAUUGUGAAUUUUAUGAACAAAUAACUCAAUAUAUAGGCUCUUUAUGGUUAGAGAAGCCCAAAUUAUUUAUUUAUUAUUUAUUUUUUAAAAAGGAUUAUAUGUUUUCUUUUUAUUUAUUUAUUAUUAAUUUUUUGAAAAAAAAAUUAUGUUUAUUUUUUUUGUCUUUUGAGAUGAUUGUUUAUUUGUACGCGUCUGCUACACUUUUUAAUAGGUAUGUAAGGACAGUAAUUUAGCUAGUAUCUGGCUGUAAUUGUCAAGCUGGAUUGAUUGAGAUCCAAUCCAAUUUAGUUCAGGCAAUAUGCACCUUGACUCAAUAGUUUAUUACCAGAUUAUCAUCUCUCGUUACACUACAAUGCGAGUCGAAUGCAAAAAUUUUGAAUGUAAAGAAAUACCCACAAAUUACUAACAUGUUUUUUAAGGAAGAAAAAUUAAUCAUGUGGAAUUGAUUUAAUAUGAUCCGGUCUAAUAAAAAUAUAGUUUAACUUAAAAGAUUCAGGAUAAUAUUUUUUUUGUAAAUAUUGAGAAGAAAACAUAUUAGAUUAACUUGGAUCAACUCGGGUUAACUUGUUGAAUCUCCAUCCUAGGUCAUGAGACCGUGAUAACCCCAUAAAAAGCAAAUUAGAAAAAAAAUGAAGCUCAAUUCUUAAUCAACCUAAUGUUGAAGGAUGAAAUUGAAAAUAAAAUUUAAUAAAAAAAAAACAACUUGAGUUAACCUGGAUUAACCUAUUGAACUUGAGUCAUAAGACCGGAUAACCUCAUAGAAAGAAAAUUGAAAAAAAUUAUUAAGAUCAAUUCUCAAUAUUGAAGAAUGUAAUUAAACAAAAUUCAAUUAAAAAAAAGAAAAGCAAAAUCCAAGACACAUGUCAUGAGGUCAUGAUAACCCUAUAGAAAGUAAAUAGAAAAAAAUUAUAUAUUCCAACUUCUAAUAAAUUCAAUGUUGGAGGAUAAAUUUUUUUUUAAAAAAAUGAUUUGAGUCAACUCGAGUUAACCUUCCAAACUUAUGUCACGAGGUUAGAAUAACUUCAUAAAAAAAUAAAACAAAUUAUGAAAUUUAAUUUCUAUUAACUCAAUGUUGAUGGAGAAACUGGAAAAAAAUAUUCAAUUAUAAAAUAACAAAAAAAUCAAGUUAAUCAAAUUAAUUUGCAAAACCUAUGAUAUAGAUCAUGAGAAUAAAAUAACUCCAUAGAAAAAAAUUAAUUUUUUUUUUAUAAAACUCAAUCUCUAAUAAAUCUAAUAUUAAGAGAUAAAAUUAAAAUUAUAUAUAAGAAAAAAACAAAUCAUUAUUUCAAUUAAAAUUGAUUCGUGAGGAGAGGUUAGUGAAAUACCCUUGUUUUUUUCAGUUCUUAUUAAUUAUUAUUAUAUAAAAUAAUAUGAAUAUAUAACUUUCACAAAUAAAGUUUACUAAUUGUAUUUCUUGCAUUAAACUUCAAGUGAUUAAUCAGUUAAAUGUUGAAAGAUGAAAUUAAAAUAAAAAUUUAAUAACAAAAAAAAAACAACUUGAGUCAACUUGAAUUAACCUGUCGAACUUGAGUUAUGAGACCGGAUAACUUCAUAAAAAGUAAAUUGAGAAAAAUUAUAAAGAUCAAUUCUCAAUAUUGAAUGAUGUAAUUAAAGAAAAGAAAUUCAAUUAAAAAAAAAGAGAAGUAAAAUCCAAGACAUAUGUCAUAAGGCCAUGAUAACCCUAUAGAAAGCAAAUAGAAAAAUAAUUAUGAAUUUCACUUCCUAAUAAAUUCAAUAUUGGAGGAUAAAAUAAUAAAAAAAAACUUGAGCCAAUUCGAGUUAACCUUCUAAACUUGUAUCAUAAGGUUAGGAAAACUUCAUAAAAAAAUAAAACAAAUUAUGAAAUAUAAUUUCAAUUAACUAAAUGUUAAUGAAGAUACUGAAAAAAAUAUUUAAUUAAAAAAAUAAUAAAAAAAUCAAGUUAAUCAAAUUAAUCUGCAAAACCUAUGAUCCAGAUUAUGAGAAUAAAAUAACCCCAUAGAAAAAAAUUAAUUUUUUUUAUAAAACUUAAUUUCUAAUAAAUUUAAUGUUGAAAGAUAAAAUUAAAAUUAUAUGUAUAAAAAAGAAAAACAAAUUAUUAUUCCAAUUAACAAUGAUUUGUGAGGAGAGGUUAGUCAAAUUACCCUCAUUUUUUUUAAUUCUUUUUAGUUAUUAUUAUAUAAAAUAAUAUGAAUAUAUAACUUUUAUAAAUAAAAUUUACUAAUUGUAUUUCUUGGAAUAAACUUCAAGAGACUCGCACAAUUAAACAACAUUAACCAAAACUUUGCAAAUGCUUGAAAAACAGUAAAACAUUUCUUUGGCCGUUUAUAAGACAAAAUAGCUUCUAUGGGUGUUUUGUUUUAUAUAAUUAGAUUCAUUUAUAGGCAUCUGAUUUUUUUAGCAACCUAAAAAGUUGUGAUUUUGUUUUGUAUCUAAUUCUUUUUCAAGAAAUGACAAACUCAUUGUAGAAUUUGAUCUCAUGAUUUCUUUCUUUCGUUUGAUCAUACCAAUUAAGAUACAUCUACCGGUACAAAUAACAAUAAAAUAAUAUUUAUACAUAACAAAUUCUUAUCAUCAUAUAGUAAUAAUCCACCAAUCCCACAAUAUAGUUUUUAAACUUAACAAUCAAUUUAUAGUUUAAAUUAAAUUGCAUUUAAUUUUAAAUUGAUUUAAUAGUUAAUAUAAUUAAAUCUAGUUAAUCCAAUUGAGUUAACAAAUAAUAUUUUGUUUUUCAUUUUCGUUUAAAAUAAUAUCGUUUUAGAGUUAACCUGCAAUCAAUCUAGAGUUUGAUUUAGACUAUGUAAUAUUUUAAAUUAAUUUAAAAAAUUUAAAAAUUAAUAUAGUUAAAUCUAGUUAACCCAAUUGAGUUAACAAAUAAUAUUUUUAUUUUUAUUUUUAUUUAAAAUAAUAUCAUUUUAGAUUAUUUUUUUAAUUGCAAAUAAUUUCAUUAAAAAUAAACCUGAAAAGAAUGUAAUCUUAAGGUUUCCUAAACUGUGACCAAUGAUGUCUCUUUCUCCUGCUUGCAAUAAAGCCAGCUCAAAGAUUACAGUCUUCCAGGCAGGCUUCCUCCGGAAUUGGCCAACCUUACUUAUGUCCAAAAAAUGUAAGAACCCUUAAUUAAGGACAUAUAUAUUUGGCUCAUGUUUCUGCUUCGAGGCCUCAAUUCUGAAUCCAUUAAAUGAUUAUGAAUCUUGAGAUGCCUCGAUGAUAGUUAAUACUCAUCAGAUGUUAUGUGAUUAUGAGUUUGCCAUUGUCUGUCACAGUUUAUAUAGAAAUUUCAAGCGUUUAUAUUAAUUUUUGGAGCAAUUUUCAAGAUGGAAAAUAAUUUUUAUACAACAACAUUGUCUAUGACAGAGAUUUCACUCGCAACUAUCUAUACGGCACAAUUCCGGUGGAAUGGGCUUCGAUGAAAAAUCUGUCUUUCAUGUAAGCUCAUUAAUAAAUUCACCCCUCUUCUUGGUUUAUCUUAUUUUCUAUGUAAGAGUGAGCUUAAAACUUCCUUCCUAACUAACCUCUUAUGCAGCUCGCUUACUGCAAAUCGCUUGUCAGGAAAUAUUCCUGGACAUUUGGGAAGUUUUACUGCCCUCACCUACUUGUAUGGCUUGAAUCUGUUAUAGUGCUCUACCUCUAGUUUGAGUUAUUCGAAUAUUGCAAGCAAUGCUAGUUUACUUUGUUCUCCAAUGGUUAUUUCACUUUAUCAAAUGCAAUUAUAAAAUAUAGGAGCCUUGAAUCAAAUCAGUUUUCUGGUGUUGUCCCACCUGAGCUUGGCAAGCUUGUCAACUUAAAAUCUCUGUAAGAAAUUUUAACUAAAUUCUUCAUUAUGAAGACUUGCUAGAGAUUUCGUUUUCAUUAGUUGAAAUCUUUGCUUUGAUGCCGUGAAUUAACAAUUGCAGGAUACUCUCCGGCAAUAAGUUAGUGGGGACCUUGCCAGAGGCACUUGCGCAGAUAAAAGACUUGAAGGAUUUGUAAGCCCUCACUUAUUUUCCUUGAACACAAUUUUUUUUUUUUUUUUUGAUAAUUUAACUUAUUCAAUGUGCAGUCGCGUAAGUGAUAAUAAUCUUAAUGGCACUGUACCCGAGUUCAUUGGGAACUGGACUCAACUUCAAAAGCUGUGAGAUGUUUAUCUUCACAAGAACUUAAUUCAUUCUAAUGCAACAUGAUACACUUUAUUGAGAUUUUUUGUUCUUUUCGUGACUAAUGAAGUGAAUUGUACGCGACUGGAUUGCAAGGACCUAUACCUCUUCCGAUUUUUCAUUUGGAAAAGUUGUCUGAUUUGUGAGUAAAACCACUUUCUUGUGCUGCAUACCUCCUGCUGUAUUAAUUAUUGAAGAAUUCUCUUUGUGUGUGAGAGAUAGGGAGAGAUAAAUGAAGGGAAUUGAACAUUUAACUUGUAUUCAAGGUCUCUUACUGUUAUGCAGGAGGAUUGCUGAUAUGCCUGGACCAGAGUUUCAGUUACCUAACUCGCCGAUUGAAAGGCAAUUCUUGUAUGUGAACUGCUUCAUAACUUUUCACAGUAAAGUUGAGGAUUUGUUCUGUUCAGAGCUGUUUAACCAACCUGUAACUUGUUGUCAGGGUUCUGAGAAACAUCAAUUUAACUGGAACAAUCCCAGAAAACGCAUGGAAAGUGGAAAAAACACUGUAAGUGUGAACUUCACUCAUCGCCUUACAUCUGCUGCUAAGCAACAUAGAAUUUCUUUUUAUACAUUUCAAUUCUGCCACAUUUUCCAUUAUGAUCUCCAAGUACAGCUGGUGCGUGGGAUCUGCCUGAAUCAUCAGGUCGUUAGGAUAAGUUAAAAAUCCUACAUUAAUAUAUAAUCCUGGGUAUAUAAUAACUAAAGUCCUACUAGAGUGAGUAGUAGAAUCACAACUAGCUUCUAACAUAACAUUGACUUAUUUUCACAACCGAUGAGCUCCUAUGAGAAGGUAGUGAUUUCAAGCAACUGCAACUCUCCAAGGAAGAAUAUAAAUAGAGGAUUACUUCAAAGAAUUUAAUAACCUUUAAUUAUGAGACACACACACACACACACACAUAUAUUCACCUGUUUAUUGCCAUUAUAUUUACAAAGAUGUAAAAUCUUCUUCAGAGACUGAAGCCUAAAAUUUUGUUUGCUGUAAUUUCUUGCAGCGACUUAAAUUUUAACAAGUUGGUUGGGGAGAUUCCUCCUAAUACAAUACGACGAAGACAGUUUACGUGAGCAAUGCUAAAGUCUGAUAAUUUGAAAUUUGGUUAUUGAAAUCUUAUCAAGGAUGGCGCAAUAAAUUAUUCUGAAAGUAUGAGUGUGGUUCUUACCAGGUUUUUGAGUGGCAACAAGCUGACUGGAACAGUGCAAGACUCAUUCCUCCAAAAUAGCCCAAAUCUGUAGGUUCCUAAAUUACACCCAUCAUUGGAUUCAGUACUUAAUUUCUAUGGGUGAUUUUAUUGGGAAAAAAUAAAUAGUCAAAAAAUCAUUAAUUAUCACUGCAUUGAAAAGUAAACACUAACAAUCUAUCGAUGCGUAUGUUACUGAAAGACUCACAGAUAGAAAUGGUCUAUCGAAAAAACUAUUGUCGGUAAUUUAUAGAUUGUCGGUGAGUCUAUCGCUAAUAAAUAUAUCGAUGAAUUUACAGACGGACAAAGCAUAUCAAUUUUUCUUUUUACGAUCGAAUACAAUAAAUCUAAAAUAAAGACGACAGUGGAUGAGGAGGAGGAGGAGGAGGAGGUAGGUUGUCACCAGGAACGUAAGGGCAAUUAAGGGGUGCACAUGAACUAGGGGUAAUCAUUUUCGGUUAAGUUCAGUUUCUACAUAUAAAAACAAUCAAACUGAAAUUUUGUAAAAGAAAAAAAAAAAAAUCGAACCGAGACCGGUCUCGGUUCAUUUUGGUUAUUUUAAGUUAAAAACUGAAACUAAAAUGAUCAGUUUCGGUUCAAUUUGAUUUGAUUCAAUUUCGGUUCGGUUCGGUUAUUUGAUAUUAAAAACUGAAAAUUAUAUUGUUUUUUUGGACUUUCUAAUGAGUUUUUUCGGUUCAGUUCGGUUUUUGGCUUGGUUUGGUUUAUUUCUUAACUAAACUGGUUCGAUUCAGUUUUUUAAUUUCAAGCUUAUGAAGCUGAAACCAAACCAAAUUUUUUUAAAAAAUAUUCUAAUCGAUGUAAUCAGUUUUUUUCAGGCUUCGGUUUUUUUGGUUGUUUGUUUUCUAGUUUUCCCGGUUUAAUGAGUUCGUUGGUUUUUUUGCUCACUCCUAACAUAAACCAUCCAUCUGUGAUUUCAUCUCCAUUACCAAUCAACAAAAUUCUCCAUAACCAGUAGUGAGUCAUCAUAUUUAUCAUUAAGAUAAGUUGUCCGAUCUUGUACCUGUUGGUCUAACAUCACUACGAACUCCAGAGUUUGAUUGCUUAGAAUUGAUUGCGAGCAUCCAAAAGUAUUACAGGUCAUUCAUAAAUUCUCAGUCAUAGUGUUAGAGAGUCCAUACACUCGAUUUCUAUUAGGUUCACCAAAUGAUUCUCCCUCCAACCACAAAUCCGGACCGAUAUCCAAAUGGGUUGAAGGCUCAUCCUUGUAUCUCUCCUUCAACCGGCUGUUAUAUGUAUCCUAUAAAGAAAAAAUAAAUUCAUCAAAUUCAAGGACAUAAUAACUUAAGAAAAAAAUAAUUAAAAACCAACAUACCACAAAAUAUUGAGUUCGGCUAUCAACGAACUGUUGCACCCUUUUUUGACGGUCUUCACUCCACACAUGCAUUUUAACAAAAAGUUUCAUCAAACUUGGCUCACAUACAAAAACUAUAGCAUGCAAUAAAAAAAUGUUGUCAAUUCAAUAUAUUUAUAAAAAACAACUAAGAAAAAAAUGGAUGUGGUAAAAAAAAUCCUAUCAUCAAAUGAAAGCGAGUGCAUUUCUAGCGCUUGCAUCGUGAAGUUUAUAUAUUCUCUUUAUUUGUUAUCCUUGUGGAAGUUUGUAUUUAGAUUUAUGGUUUUCUUGAUCUUUUCCAGCGAUGUUUCGUACAAUAACUUUUCACGGUCACCAAGAUGCAGCAGCAGUAACGAGUAAGGAUGUUCAUAAAUAUUUGAAAUGGGAUAUUCUUGGUGAUUUUGAAACUGAAUGAUUUGAGUUUAUAAACCAGGAAUAAUAUAAACUGGUUUCGAAGCUCGUCCAGCAAUAAUAAAUUGUAAGGCUCUUCUUUUAUACUCUGUGGACUGCAAUGUUUUUCGUAUUUAUAUUUCUGUAGAUGAAAUUUAGCAAUAGAGAUUCUGCUGUAUGUGAUUUCAAAAAAUCCCACAGGGUCAAAAGAAUUACUAGCAAGAUCUUGUACCUAUUUGCGAUAACAGCAUACGCUAUCAUGAGUACAGAGUUGCAGAGACAGAUACAAUUACUUCAGAUGAACGUGGAAUUCAGACAAAACAUAUUUUAAUAUUGUAACUAAAUAAUAAACUAUACUACAUCUUUAAAUACUACCUAAGCAGAAUAGAUAGAUAUCCAGAAUUAAUUUAUGCUCAGAGUAUAAUGCAUAUCAUUUUUUCAAAGAGCAAACACAUCUUGAAUAUUUUCCUUGUGUGAUACAAUUGUUUUUAAGCAUGUUCUGAUUCUGAUUCCGAGGCUUUUUUCUGAUACCAGAUUUUUAGAAUUCAAUCUACAAAACCAUUUAUUAUUCUAACAAACUAUAAUUUCCAUGAUAUACAGAAGCGAUCUUCUUCCAUGCUCAGGGAUAUCUCGGUGCCCAAAAUGUAUGUUUUUAUUUACUUAUUUUCAUAAUAAGAACUUGUGCACUUCAUAAAAUCCGAGUGUGCCAUUAAAGUUUAUCGAAGUACCAUAUUUAUUUGUGUACUUCAAUGUUUGAAUGACAUUGAUGAUUGUUAGCUAGCUUUUUAAUUAGAUUCUAUCUCGAAAAACUAAUAAGGUCACUUUGUUGGAAAAUUUAUACAUCAAAACGUGGUUUGAAGUAGAACUUGACCACUGGUUUCACCGUCAGAAACCAAAAGUUGACAGAAGGAAUUCAUUGAGUUGAAUUAAUCUGACAAUGGCAAGCCACUUGAUGAAGUGUUGACCAGUGACUAAUCAUAGUUUUGAAGCUUUGUAGUAAAGUAAACUCAUUCCCCAUUGAUAUGCUUCUAUAAGUAUGACAAAACGGAAAAUUGAAACAUGUCUGAUGGUAUGCUAGUUUUAUGUGCUGCAGAUUAUCGUUCAUUCCAUAUAAACUGUGGUGGACAAGAUGUAAAGAAUGGGAAAAUCUUGUAUGAAGGUGAUCAAGAUAGUGGAAGUAAUGCUGCUGCAAGGUGUUAUAAUAGAUCAGGAUCAAACUGGGGAUUCAGCAGCACAGGAGAUUUCAUGGAUGAUGAAAAUUUCUAUGAUAACAAAUAUACGCUUCAAUCAAAUGCUAAUAUUUCUCUAGUUGACUUUGGAUUGUAUGCAACAGCACGUAAAACUCCCCUGUCUAUCACUUAUUAUGGAUAUUGUCUAGAAAAUGGGAAUUACACUGUCAGACUCCACUUUGCUGAGAUACAAUUCACAGAUGAAAAACUGUACAACAAAGUUGCAAGGCGCGUUUUUGAUAUUUACAUUCAGGUAAUUAAUUAUCUUUUCCUUCCAAAGAUAUUGUGGAUGUCUUUUUUUCUUUUCGUUUUCAAAGGAACCCUUUUGAGUAGGAAACUUUGUUCCAGGGAAUACAAGUGCGAAAGGAUUUUAACUUUACAAAGGCAGUCCAGGGAUCGAACAGAAGUUUCACAAGAGCAUUCAACACCACCGUGACAGACCGUACACUGGAGAUCCGAUUAUACUGGGCUGGAAAAGGCACUACUGUCAUUCCAAUAAGAGGAAAUUAUGGUCCUAUAAUUUCUGCUAUAUCCGUAUGUUCAGGUAUGUUGCAUGUUCUUUUUCUGCCUCAUUUGAAACUUAAAAGACUUCAAGGAGUUUAAUUUAUACAAUAGAAGGACACCAUUGAAUUCAUUUCUAUUUCAAUUUUCUGAGCUUUCUGGGGUUUUUUUGUCCCUCCCCUAACUGAUAAGAUUAAACACAUUUAAUGUUUCCCAUAAACCAAUCUGCAUAAGUGAUUAGCCUGAUUUUUGUUGUCACUGUAACUGUAAGCUUCUUCCACUCACUUCAUUAUCCCAUCUAAGAAUCUUUCCGUGAUCUGUGGUUUUUCAGGUUACAGAACUUAUUGUGAAGGUGAGAAUUGAACUGUGCUAUAGUGGUCGUGUGUCUUUACAGCGUUAAUGUUUAUUAUCCAUUUGAUGGGAUGUUUAGCCUUCUUUGCGUUUGCAAUUUUAUUUAAUAUCAGAACCUGAGGAAACAAGUAAGAAACCUAUUGUGAUCGGAGUUGUCACUUCAGCAGUAUUCCUUAUUUUCUUGGUAAUGGGUGUCAUUUAUUGGAAGCUCUGCUAUGGAGACAAAUACACCAGAGAACGAGGUAUUGUAAAAUCAGUCAUUUCCGCACACUGAGUCUACUCUUAAUUUUCUAAAUAAUGGCGAAUCACACUAAAGAAUGCGCGUAGUGCAUGGAUAUAUGAUUUUCAUGGAUUUGUAUUAUUUCACGAUAUGUCUCCUGACUGUCAUCCUCCCAUACCAACUGCUACGUGCAGAGCUUAAAGGGCUGGAUUUGAAAACUGGUUCCUUCACCUUGAGGCAGCUAAAAGCGGCCACUGACAAUUUCAAUUCAGAAAACAAGAUUGGAGAGGGUGGUUUUGGAUCCGUAUACAAGGUUUGUCAUCUAAUGAAUUUUUCAUAUUAUCACAAUUUUAUUAUUGGAAUCAUGCAUGGGUGAAUCCGCCCCAAAAACACUAUAGCAUUUAGACGCGUGAUUGACUUCCAAUGCAGGGUGAAUUAGCAGAUGGUACUAUUAUUGCUGUUAAGCAGCUAUCUCCAAAAUCCAGGCAAGGAAACCGUGAAUUUGUGAACGAAAUAGGCAUUAUAUCUUGUUUACAGCAUCUGAUCUGGGACGAUCGUUGGUUGACACCUGGACUAGCCAUGCAGAGAAGCCAUGCAGAUAAGCCAUGAGAAGAAUCAGUCUAGGCAAGAGUAAUUCUCGGCACGAGAUUAGCCUAGUUGGUUAGUAUCCCACGUCCCCAUACAGUGGAGAAAGAUAGUGGAGAAAGACUAGUUCCAUAGGAAUGAGUCAACCUGAUUUGGUGGGAUUGCCCACUAUAGUAAGCCUAGACUCUAUAUAUAGAGAUAGGGAACCCACGUAAAAGGGGAUGUAAUCAGUGAAGUAUUCACAUAGCAAGUAUCAAAUAAAAUCCUUUGUUCUUGCAAAUUGAUUCUGUGUUAUCGUUUUUCUUUUGUUUCAUAGUGGUUGAACAGAUCAAGUUGGUAUCAGAGCAAUCGUUCCUCCCUGUGGAAAAACUUUUAGUUAAUGGUGCUGACCAAGUCUGGAUAUCAGACAAUUGGUGAACCCCUCUCUGUUUUGCAGUCCCAUCGACGUUCAACAAGGAAGGCCACAACACCAUCAAGCAUGUCAAGCGAAGAAGAAGAAGUUACACCGGAUCAGUCUAACCUUUCAGACAAGGUUGAUAGGCUGACCACGCAACUAGAAGCUGUUCUAAAAUGGAUUCAAUCUCAACCAUCAUCAUCGGCAUCACCAGGACUGAAGAAUGUUGAUGACGGCAUUUCUCCUCCAAGAGCUCGUCUGACGACUGAAAAGGAAAAGAGCCAGGAUGAAGAUGCCCACCCUCGAUUCGUCACUGGCAUACGACCUCAACCUUUUAAAGUUGAAGCCAGGAUAGACAUACCAACAUUCGACGGCACCAUAGAUGCAGAGAAGCUAGAUUCUUGGGUGGAUCAGUUGGAGACUUAUUUCACACUUUAUGGUUUCAGUAGUGGUGAGAAGGUUGCAUUCGCAAGAUUGAAAUUAACCAGCCAUGCAUUGGCCUGGUGGAAUGCAUUCUUGAAGAAUAACGAUGAUAGAGAGAUAAGUUGGAAGGAAUUUACUCAACUCUUGCAACAGGAAUUCUACCCAAUGGGAUAUGUUCAAGAUCGCUGGACACGAUGGCACAAUUUGCGACAGAGGCAGAAUCAAUCGGUGCAAGAAUACACCACCGAAUUCCGCAGACUAGCAGUUACACUGGGAAUUGGACUGGACCACGAAGAUGUCUUCACGAAAUUUGUGGCUGGCUUAUGGCAGCACAUUCAAAAUGAAUUACGGCUAUAUCAGGCCGUUAAUAUCUCUGCUGCCAGUAGCAUUGCUAUGGCUAUCGAACAGAAGAAUAAACCUCGUGGGCAACGUCCUACCGACAAUGACAAGGAGAGAAACAGUGGCAACCACAAUUUUAAGAAGUUCACACAAGGUAACCCCUCAUCUGUAUCCAAAUCUACUAAGUUUUGUGAGCAUUGUAGAGUUUCGGGGCAUGACAAAGCGACGUGCUGGAAACUACGUCCUGACCUUUUUCCUACAAAAUGGAAAAAGGACGACAAGGGCAAGCGCACAAUGACAACAACAAUCCUCAAUGAUCACAUUGAACUCGGCCAGAUGGAGGAAGCGGAUAUGAGUUUGUCUUUGAUGGCAAUGCCGAAGGAGACAACCUCAAAUCUGUUAACCCCCCCUGAUGAGAAGGAGGAGCUUUUUACCCUACGAAUUCAAGUGAAGCAAGAGAUCAUUGAUGCAAUCGUUGACACUGGCAGUCAAAAGAAUUUGAUCUCGGCCAGUUUGGUUCAAAAAUUGGGACUUGAGACAAAUCCACAUCCUAAACCAUAUCCACUUGGAUGGAUACAAAAGGACGUGGAACUCAAGAUUGAUCGGCAGUGCAGAUUUCGUUUUGCUAUCACUAGUCAAUAUAUUGAUGAGGUAACCUGUGAAGUAGUCCCUUUGGAUAUUUGUCAAGUGAUUUUUGGCAAUCCAUAUUUGUGGGAACGAGAUGCUAUUUACCACUGACGGGCUCAACAAUAUCAUCUUGUGAAAGAUGGGAAGACGUACAUUGUCCACAAAGAUCGAUCAUCUCAAAAGGCAGACUUAGUCACUGCCUGCCAGGCGAGAAGAAUGAUAAAUGCAUCUCAGAAGUUUGUCCUCAUGAUGAUUCGACCACUAACAGAUGAAGUCACACCUUCUCGUUUCACACUAUCAUGUAAGGCAAUAGACAACAAGUUGAAUGAGUUACUUAACAAGUAUACAAACUUGUUUGCGGAAGUAGGCAGACUUCCUCCCAAACGGGCAAUUGAGCAUGAAAUUCAACUCAUUUCAGACUCCACAUUGCCUAAUAUUUGCAUGUAUCGCAAUUCAGUACUGGAGAAUGAGGAGAUCAAAAAACAAGUAACUGAGUUGCUGGACACGGGUGUUAUUAAACCCAGCAGUUCCCCUUGCGGCUCACCAAUUGUGCUUGUUCCGAAGAAAGAUGGAGGAUGGCGGAUGUGUAUCGAUUACAGAGCACUUAACAAAAUUACUGUUAAGAACCGAUACCCUCUUCCCCGUAUUGAUGAUCUAUUGGAUCAACUACGUCAUGCUACCAUCUUUACCAAGCUUGAUCUGAAAUCGGGGUAUCAUCAAGUUCCAAUUCGCAAGGAGGAUUCCUGGAAGACAGCAUUCAAAACACGACAAGGAUUAUUUGAAUGGUUGGUCAUGCCAUUCGGUCUUUGCAAUGCCCCAGCAACAUUUAUGCGACUCAUGAAUGAUGUUCUCCGGCCCUUCAUUGAUCACUUUGUCAUCGUCUAUCUCGAUGAUAUCUUGAUCUACAGUUGCUCUUUGGAGGAACAUCUCGUACAUGUGCAACAGGUAUUUGCCGUCCUAGAAGAACAUCACUUGCGCCUAAACCGCAAGAAAUGUGAGUUUGGAAAAAAAACCUUAAUUUAUCUUGGAUUCAUCGUGGGUGGCGGUGAAUUGCAAGUUGAUCCUGCUAAGGUUCAAGUGAUCACGGAAUGGCCACGACCUCGUACGGUCACAGACGUCCGAAGCUUUAUGGGUGCAUGCCAAUACCUUCGUAAGUUCAUUCAAAAUUUCUCUCUUCUGGCGUCUCCUCUCCAUUCCUUGACUAAGGCCAACCAAGCCUUUGUUUGGACUAAGGCACAUGAGGACACGUUCCAAUUAUUGAAGAGGAAGAUAAGCGAAGCGCCAGUUCUUGCCUUGCCGGAUUUACAAAAACCCUUCGAGAUUGAGGGGGAUGCAUCAGGAUAUGCAAUGGGAGCCGUUUUGAUGCAAGGAGGACGACCAGUAGCCUACCAUUCAGAGAUGUUUCAAGGCGCUGCAAAGAACUAUCCAACAUAUGACAAAGAGCUCCUAGCACUACACCAAGCAGUGAAACAUUGGCGUGUUUAUCUUCUGGGCAAAGAAACGGUGGUCCACACAGACCAUCAGCCAUUACAGUACUUACAGUCACAAGCUCGAUUACAACAAGCCCGACACAUGAAAUGGAUGACAUACCUACAACAAUUUCACUUGGUGAUAAAGUACAAGAAAGGCAGCCAUAACAAGUUGGCAGAUAUGUUGUCACGACCUCCAGUGACAGCAAUUUGUUUAUCAGUUUUUAUGCAAGUGCAUCCGGCUUUACAUGAGGAGUAUGUUGAUUGGUAUAAAGAAGAUCCUGACUUUCAAAGCACAUGGGAAGAGGUGCUGUCUAGUAGACCGUCAGAGUUCAUGCUACGAGAUGGCCUUCUAUACAAAGGGAAACUCUUAUGCAUACCCCGAUCGGAUGAAAGGGUGAGAUACAUACGGGAGGCACACACAUCCAAAAUUGCUGGUCAUUUUGGGGUCACAAAAACAUUACAAAAUUUGUCUCGUUAUGUUUUCUGGCCCCGGAUUCAACAUGAUGUGGCUCGUUUCAUAAGAGGGUGUGUACUGUGUAGCACAUCUAAACCUGCUAAUCGUAAGGUGGGAUUGUAUACCCCACUACCUGUUCCGACACGCCCAUGGGAGAGUAUUUCUAUGGAUUUCUUGGGAGGCCUUCCAAUGACCCGGCGAGGUAAUGACUAUCUAUUUGUGGUGGUCGAUCGAUUCUCCAAAAUGGUGGUACUCAUGCCCUGCAAAAAGACGAUCACCAGUGAUGGAGCAGCACGCCUCUUCUUUGAAAAUGUAUGGAAAUUAUUUGGUCUCCCUAACUCGAUUAUAUCUGAUCGAGACAGCCGGUUUUUAAGCAAAUUUUGGUGUGCUUUAUGGGCCAUGAUGGACACUAAGUUGAAAAGAAGUACCGCAUUCCAUCCUCAGACUGACGGACAAACCGAAGUGGUGAAUAGGACUGUUGUUCACCUUCUACGAGGAUACAAUGCUCGUCACCCCAAAACUUGGGAUGAAAGCAUUCCCUUCCUGCAGUUUGCCAUUAAUCAUGCCGUACAUGGUUCAACAAACAAGUCUCCCGCAGAAGUGUGUUUGGGUUUCUUGCCACAGAGCCCUUUUGACUUGGAAUUCACAAUUGAAUCAAACUCUGCAUUAGAUAAAGGGGAAGGCGAGAGGUUACGAGCACAACGGUUUGUGGAUCAAAUUAGGAAGAUACAUUCGGAAGUGGAGCAGCAGCUCACAAAGGCUCAACAAAAGUAUAAAGAGCGUCAUGACAGACAUCGCGUCCAAGGUCAUUUCCAAGAAGGUGACCUUGUUUGGUUGCACCUGGGCAAAGACCGACUGCGUGGAGUCGGAAAGAAACUCAAGCCAAUCCGUUAUGGACCAUUCAAAAUCCUUCGUAAGAUUGGUGAUAAUGCGUGUCAAUUGGAGUUACCAGCUUACAUGGAGAUGUAUUCUGUGGUCAACGUUGACAAAUUGAAACUCUUUGAGCCUUCCAUGCUGGACGAUGAGCCCGAUGGAACUCUACCUACGGUGGAAGAUUUAGUAACUGAACAGGAAAUCAUCCUAUCUGAAGAUACUAUCGUGGAAAGGAAAACAACUACCACUCGACGUGGUGAAAGAGAAUCUUUCCGCAUUGGCAGUAAAGGUCAACGUCCAAGUAAGGCAAAAUGGUUCUCCCGGGAAACUGGCCAAGCUCAGUUUCCUCACCUCCAAUUCUAGAACCAGCAGGAGCUGGCUCGUCCUAACAAGGGGAGUCAUGAUCUGGGACGAUCGUUGGUUGACACCUGGACUAGCCAUGCAGAGAAGCCAUGCAGAUAAGCCAUGAGAAGAAUCAGUCUAGGCAAGAGUAAUUCUCGGCACGAGAUUAGCCUAGUUGGUUAGUAUCCCACGUCCCCAUACAGUGGAGAAAGAUAGUGGAGAAAGACUAGUUCCAUAGGAAUGAGUCAACCUGAUUUGGUGGGAUUGCCCACUAUAGUAAGCCUAGACUCUAUAUAUAGAGAUAGGGAACCCACGUAAAAGGGGAUGUAAUCAGUGAAGUAUUCACAUAGCAAGUAUCAAAUAAAAUCCUUUGUUCUUGCAAAUUGAUUCUGUGUUAUCGUUUUUCUUUUGUUUCAUAGUGGUUGAACAGAUCAGCAUCCCAAUCUUGUAAGGCUUUAUGGAUGCUGUAUUGAAGGAGACCAGUUGCUUCUGGUGUACGAGUACAUGGAAAACAACUCCCUCUCUCGUGCACUUUUCGGUAACCAUAGUAGCAUUUGUUGAUAAAUUUUCAGUAAAAUAUAUAUUUUUUAUAACACUGCAUCAACUAGCAAACAUGAUCUUAUCAACAAUCCUAUUAGGAGCAGGUUCCGAAACAAGUGCUCUGAUGUUGGAUUGGACUACAAGGUAUAAGAUAUGUGUUGGAAUAGCCAGAGGUUUAGCAUUUCUCCAUGAAGGAUCUGCUAUCAGGAUUGUUCACAGGGACAUCAAAGGUACAAAUGUAUUACUGGACAAAGAUCUAAAUGCCAAGAUAUCAGACUUCGGACUAGCUAAGCUCAAUGAAGAGGAGAACACUCAUAUUAGCACUCGAGUUGCUGGAACUAUGUAAGUUGUAUUGAGACUAAUUUAAUUCCUGAAUUUUAUUGAUAGUAAUACUCCUCAAGUCACUGAAGGGCACUAAUUCCGCAUUUUUAAAAAAUAUAUAUAUUUCAGAGGAUAUAUGGCUCCAGAAUAUGCACAAUGGGGCUAUCUAACAGAUAAAGCAGAUGUUUAUAGUUUUGGGGUUGUCGCCUUAGAAAUUGUCAGUGGAAAGAGCAACUCAAGUUACAGGCCAGAGAACGAAAAUGUUUGUCUUCUUGACUGGGUAAAUCAUCGUCAGUCUGUUUCUGUUGCUAUCCUGAAUUAAUGACGCGUGAGGCAUCAGUUCUCAAUGCAAAACAUGGUACAUUUGGUAAAAUAUCAUAGCUUCCUUCUUAUUUGUCUUUGAAAUUGUCGUCACAGGCCCAUGUAUUGCAAAAAAAGGAAAAUUUAAUGGAGAUAGUGGACCCAAAGCUGCAGUCUGAAUUCAACAAGGAAGAAGCUGAGAGGAUGAUCAAAGCGGCUCUCUUAUGCACCAAUGCUUCUCCAUCUAUAAGGCCCGCAAUGUCAGAAGUGGUGAGCAUGCUUGAAGGACAGACCUGCAUCCCGGAGGUGACCUCAGAUCCUAGCAUUUAUGAUGAUGAUGAUUUACACUCCAAACGUGUCAAAGGCCACUAUCAGCAGGUCACAGACCAGAGUUUAAACAGCACACAAGACCUCUUUCCUCCAUCUGAUAAAUCAUGGAUUGGAAAUUCCUCUACAUCUGCCCCUGAACUCUACCCCAUCAAUCCCGUUUCCAUAAGUUUAAACCUAGUGAAACCUCGUCUUUAAUUUGAAUAAAGCCAAAGACCAGAUCUUGGUAUGAUUAUGGAUUUAGACGUCUACACAACGUUUUGUUGCUUACCAUCCAUCUUGGUAUGAUUAUGGAUUUAUAUUUUAUAAUUCUAUAUAUGUAAACGGUCUCUUAAAGCUAUCUCCGUGGUUGUGAGAAUUGAGAGCCCAAGGCACUUUUUAAAUUUUGUUGCUUGUUUUUGUA
rnacentral:lncRNA from 1 species